UUGAACUGACAUUGGUUGAUUGUUUGAAAAUACUAGAAUAACGGAGGAAACUUGAUGAUGAUGUUGACGCGGUUGCGGACUUCUUCUGACAUGAGGCCUCCUUUACCUCCCUACUAAUACUGCAUUAGUUUCUCCUUCCUUCUUCCUAGCGAAAUUGCUACCAUACUUCUUGCUCGAUGAUACUUCUUCCUUAGACAAACGUCCCUCGUGGACUCCUUCC
rnacentral:lncRNA from 1 species